rnacentral:rRNA from 1 species
UACGGGGGGGGCAAGCGUUGUUCGGAAUUACUGGGCGUAAAGGGCUCGUAGGCGGCCAACUAAGUCAGACGUGAAAUCCCUCGGCUUAACCGGGGAACUGCGUCUGAUACUGGAUGGCUUGAAUCCGGGAGAGGGAUGCGGAAUUCCAGGUGUAGCGGUGAAAUGCGUAGAUAUCUGGAGGAACACCGGUGGCGAAGGCAAUCCCCUGGGCCUGCACUGACGCUCAUGCACGAAAGCGUGGGGAGCAAACAGG